rnacentral:rRNA from 1 species
UACGUAGGGUGCGAGUGUUGUCCGGAAUUAUUGGGCGUAAAAGAGCUUGUAGGCGGUCUGUCGCGUCUGCUGUGAAAAUCCGGGGCUCAAUCCCGGACUUGCAGUGGGUACGGGCAGACUAGGAGUGUGGUAGGGGAGACGUGGAAUUCCUGGUGUAGCGGUGAAAUGCGCAGAUAUCAGGAGGAACACCGAGUGGCGAAGGCAGGUCUCUGGGACGGUACUGAC